UACAGAGGUCUCGAGCGUUUGUUCGGAUUCAUUGGGCGUAAAGGGCGCGUAGGCGGUCUGCUAAGUUGGAUGUGAAAACUCUGGGCUUAACCCAGAGCCUGCAUUCAAUACUGACAGGCUAGGAGUUCUGGAGGGGAUAGCGGAAUUCCUGGUGUAGCGGUGAAAUGCGUAGAUAUCAGGAGGAACACCGAUGGCGAAGGCAGGUCACUGGGCCGCAACUGACGCUGAGGAGCGAAAGCAUGGGGAGCGAACAGG
rnacentral:rRNA from 1 species